ensembl:lncRNA
UGCUACGGUUUUGCCGAGUUGGACCAUGCUCGUGUUUGCCGAGUUGGACCAUGCUACGUGUUUGCCGAGUUGGACCAUGCUCGUGUUGCCAGGUUGGACCAUGCUACGUGUUUGCCGAGUUGAACCAUGCUACGUGUUUGCCGAGUUGGACCAUGCUACGUGUUUGCCGAGUUGGACCAUGCUACGUGUUUGCCGAGUUGGACCAUGCUACGUGUUUGCCGAGUUGGACCAUAUUGGUUCCAUUUACAGUAUUAAGUGUGCCGUCCAAAGGGGGGGGGGGGGAGCAAGACCCUAUGAUUCCCGUUUUUGGUUGGCUCAAGCUGUUGUUAGCCGUUUGGUACCAAUUGUUCGUUGGAUAGCCAUUACCCGGGCCUUUGUUUGUAUGGCCCGGGGGAGAGUUGAAAGAAGAACUCCCAAUGCAUUUCUCCUUUUUGUGACGUUAUGGCUUUUGCGUCUCAUUUGGUGCUGUCCAGCCUAGGAUUUUGUCAGUGAAUAGGUACGGCCUUUCACAUGUCAACGUUUACUUUAUUUGAACCAUACACUUCCUCGUGCUCGUUCUUUCUCGUGCUCGUUCUACAGCGCCUGCAUUGAGCUAAAACAUGAACGAAAGGGCCAACAUCUAAAUACGUCCUUUUAGAAUCAGAAACGCUAGUAUAUAGUGAUGCAGGCCUUUAGAUGUUGUACACAUGAAAUUGUGUCACUCUGAACUUUAUCUACUAUGUUAUAUUCCAUGUUGUGCGAUAUGUCUGGUCUGGGAUAUUUUUCUGUGUAUGCGCACAUGGAAAAGUCUGGCUUAAGUUUCACAAAAUGGAAUUUAAAUGUUGCGAAUAUGUUUGCAAGUGAAAUCGCAAAAAAAAGUAUAUGCUCUCUUCUAUAACAUGCAAUUUACACCCAAAAUACAGAUUUGGUCCAAAAAAAAGUGAACUUCUCCUGUGAUGCUACAAUGAUCCUUUCAAUUAAUGAUAAUCACCCAUUGAUUAGUGAACAUUAUAAACUGGGUGGUUCGAGCCCUGAAUGCUGAUUGACUGAAAGCCGUGGUAGACCUUAUACCACAGCUAUGAUAAAACAUUUUUACUCUUAGUAGAAAUGUAUUACCCCAUUUUAACCCAUACGGUUGUUUUCCCCCAUUUUCUGUAAAACUGUUUGAAAAUAAACAAUUUAUAGUUUCAAGACAUGUUUAAAAUGGCAUGUUCAAAUCUGAAAGGGGAUGUAAAGAGGGCCAAGGUGCAGUUUUGUCCCCUAACAGAAUCUUGAUACAUGAACAUUAUACCACAAAGCCCUGACUUAGCCCACCUGUAGGUCCCCGACACCUUCUCCAUGUCAGUGUCCUCUCCCAGUCAGAAGAGGGACUCAUCUUCUGUAAUCUAGGCUCUUUCUUGUUCCUCCUCUUGGCUUGAGUGCAUGACAUGGACUUAACACAGUCAUUUACUCAAACACUGGGAUUUUUUAUAAAGUUUUACAAACCAGGUCCUAGAGAGCCCUUGUUCCAGGGCGGUUCCUGUCUCUCUAUACAUAUUGAAUUGUAUGCCUAUUUGCACAAGUCCCACACCCAGAAAUGAAAUGGCAGAAGAGAAGCUAAACUCUGAAAAGGGACAGACCGGUAGCUUAUACUUUUAUUGAUGGUCUGAAAGAGUGUUUAGAAUUAGAUUUAUUUUUGAGUUCCUUGACCACUGCUGCCAGUUCUUAAAAUGCUAUACAAAUGAGAACUUUGAAUGGGACACACCAAUUUGGGAUGAAUUCUUUAGAGGUAAAUGUUUCCCCUUCAGUGCCGGGAAACACCUUUUACAAAGAAAUGCUUUUAUGCAUCUAUCUUUCUUUACUCUAUACAUAGACAAGCAGAAGCUUUUAUUGCAUAUCACUUACUAUGCAUCACCUAUUGUCUUACUGUACAGACCUGCUGUUGCACUGUUAAGAUUUCUUGCUACUUACUUUCUAUUAGUCAUCCCAGUUUGGUUAUCCAAUCAUGCUGGAGCCCAGGAAGUUCUGGUUGACAUUAUAUCGAUAGCCAGGGUGAGUCCCUCUUUUGUGCACCUGUGGCAUGUGAACAAACUCUCCAUUUUAGCCAUUUUCCAUCCUAUUCUCCCUUUGCUUUAGCCACUGGGUAAAGAGAAGCUAAGAAGACGCAUUACAAAACCUUUUAAACCAACAAUUUACGAUGUUUGGAAUGAGACUAACGUGAGGUAAAGUAAAUAAUGAAUGAAUUCGAAGACUAAUUGAUCAGAUAAAAUAUCUGAUAUAUUUACGCUCAGUGUGUCGUCUUGAUCGCUGGUGAAAAGUUUGUUUCUAUUGGAGAGUUUAGGCCUCUCUCACUCUCUCUGACUUGGUUAUAGGGGAUAGUUCAGAGUGACAUUCAUUCAUUUGUUAUAGAAUGGAUGUUUCGGUUGUCGUUCUUCGCGUUCAAUGAUACCGAAUUCCUAGCUGCAGACUAGUAAUUAAUAUCAAAGACUUGUUCUUAUUCUGUCGGUAAUCGAUAGUCUAAGAGUUUAACCACGUGGUAUGGUUAAAAGAUUCAGCAAUGGUCUACAACCUUUGUCCCCUCCUAAUGGAGAAAAACAUGGUCUGGUGAUAAUUUCUCAAAGUUGGGUUUUAUUCGGGAUUGCAGAAAGGGGCUGUCCCAGGAUGCCUGACCCUAGGCUGGGCUCAGGGGCGGUCCUCUGGUUUAGUUAACUCAAAAAGGGAAUUGGAGUUUUCCUUCAUUAAACAGUCCAAAAUCACAUUGUAAAAUUGUGUAAAUAGUAUCACUCAUUCAUCUUAUACAACAAUUAGAUGUAAACCUCAUAUCUGAGGCUAUUAUAUAAACA